GGGGCUUUAGCUCAGUGGUAGAGCGCCUGCUUCGCAUAGUUCUCCGUUUCCGGCGUUAAAGAUGACGAGUAGGAGGCCCUGGGUUCAAACCCCAGAUGCUCCA